CUUAUACGUACAUAUUCACGAUUUAGCAAAAUUUCAAGGAAUCCGGCGGCGCUGCUACGUCUACGUGUUCGUUCCACUCGCGAAUAAUCGAAUUUCGUUGUUAUUUCUUUCGUUUCACGUUGUUUUACUUAGUUUUUGAAUUUUCACUCGAAAUAAUGGCACAUUUUCAUGGCUAAAUUUUUUCAAGUCUAUAAAUUACACGCUAUAACCGACUUAGACUCAUUUCCAAGCGUACGAUAUAUUAUUAUACAUUAUUAUCAGCCAACAUUUGCGCGUAUACGCUAUACACGUAUGUUAUGUGCAUACAAUACAAGAUAUCUUGGUAGCAGCUAGCACGGGCAUUAUAACUGUACGAUAUCCACCUACACACGAGUUACCUAUAACAGUCUUCACCUUUCCUUUCACUCCGCGAUCCUCUCGCCUCGGUUUUCCUCUAUUUAGUUACCGUCACCUUGUAGCUCGUUCACGCUAUUAACUCGUAGGUAAAGACUUAGGUAUACGUAUAGGUAUAAUUACACCGGUAUUUUACAUUGUGUAUAUAUUUUAAUCAUACGUACGUACGUAACCAACGGUUUAAUAUUCCCAACGUGGUCCCAUCAACUUCGUUAAGACCGGGGCGCGACCGUGGAAUGAACGCGGUGCCAGGAAGAGAAAAAAAAAGAAAAAAAAACUCGCGACUAUCGUGCAGCACCGGAAAUUUAGUUUUUCUGUUUCGUUUUUUCUUCAUUAAUCGUACGUAGCGUAGAGACGGACGUAAUUUUUGAAUGAGGUGAUUGGUACGAAUGAGUUUUGUUCCUCUGUGAAAAAUGACGAAUUUGUCAUCUUUUUUCUUCUUCAACGCGAAUGACGGGUUAAUGAAGAGAUUUUGAAGUGUGUUUUGAAAUCGCGUUCGAGCACGCGAUGCGGUUGAAAUUUCAAAGUAUUAUUGUAAUUAGGAUGGUGAUAAUGGACUUACCGCAUGGGCGGCUUCCCGCCAAUCUGACGUAGCCUCCUCACACCUCCCAGUCAGCUACGCAUCCUUUUCCCUCUUCUUCUCAAUACUCGGGGGUCACUUCUCAGCUCACGGUACACCGUUUUUCUGUCCAGAUGCUGAUGUGACACCUCACAAACGACGGCCAUGACACUUUCAAUUAAAAGUUAUUAACUUAAAUACACCGUUCCGCUUAAGACACGAUGGAUACGAAGGAAAAUGUACAAUAAAAAACACAAUUCGCGUGUAUAUGUCUACUACCUUUGCGGAUUUUUUAAAAAUAAAAUCAAUAGCAACAAUAAUAUCGACUAUAAAUAUAAUUCACAAUGUGAUGUAACAAGUGUCGUUAUAAAAUUUUUGCGAUCUUCUAGUCUCUUUUUUAUCUCUGCACCGCAUUUUUCCGCACCAACUAUCACGUUUGUCUUCUCUGUUCCUCACGCACUCUCGUUUCUUUUUUCUUCGUACGCCGCACUGGUUCAUUCAAUUUUUUGGUUCUUUACUCUAUAUUCAAUUAAUUAUAUAAUAUUUACGACGACUCUAAACGGAUUGUGAAGUUUAGUUCUUCGUGGUAUUCGAUUGGCGUAUGAUACGAUGAUAAAUAAUAUUUCGUAUAACCUGUGUGCCGAGUGAGGGGGUAUAAUAAUCAUUGUCAUAUGCCGGAAAAUUGUGGUUUCGAUAACGACGCUCUUGGGGUUUUUUUGUAAAGCUUUAUCAUAAUAUCGUGCGUCAUGAUUAUGUUUAAAUUAUCCAUCGUUGCGAUCGAGUCACGGCCCUCCCACCCCCGCCCAUCCCUUAUUUUUCUUCACUUUACAUAAAUUUACCAUAUUCGCAUAUUAUUAAAUACCCUCGGAUCACGCGCGUUCUUGCCGCCAGGCUAGACCAGGCUAGGCCACGGCUAGACGCGAAGAGGAAAAAGUACACGGGAGGAAAGGAGAGGAGAGGAAAAACUAUGGGAAGAAGAGAGGCGAGGAGACAAGAGACGAGGAACUCGCGUUGAGGUAUUUCCGACUCGUGGUCGCGUGAAAGUGGGAGACCUCUCGGUGACACUAUUAUACAUAUAAUACCACCGUUCAUACGACGCCAACAUUCCCGUGGGCUGUAGUAUUAUAACUGUUAUACAGAUCCGCGGAGUUUGUCGCAUUACAUAUAAUAUAAUACCUGUAUAUAUAUAUACAUACAUAUAUAUUUAUGUAUACCAUAUGCAUCACACGUGUACGUGUACGUAUACCUAGGACAGAUUGCGUAUACACUUGCGUACCAACACGUUUCUCCAUGAAAUCGUUUCGUGGUCGUCGAAAAAGCUCACCGAUGUUCAACUACUCUCGUCCCAUAGUAGCUAUUAUAAAUAGUUGACUGGGGACACUGAGAUAAGAUAUAGAUAGAGAUAGAGAGUUACAAGCAGGGGAAAAUAUUUUUGCAAAAUAAAGAGAUGGCUUCGAUGUUUCACGAGUAAUAUAGGUAUAAUAAGUAUAUCGAUGUGAUUACGUCCAUAUAUUUAUACAUCCUAAUAUUAAAUACAUCAAAGCUAUACGAGCAAAUAAACGACCUCGCGAAUGCAGCUAAAUUUCGUCUCUCAAGUUGUGCUUAUACAUGUAUAUAUAUAAACGUAUACCCCUACCCACUACAUAAAAAUUGAAGAAAGAGAAAAAAAUAACAAACAAAAAGAAAUUGUACGUAUACUUACGCGAGAUUCGAUUUUCAUUUUAUGCGUACUAAAGAGCCGUAAAAUUUAUCGAUUUUCCACGAAGAGUCCUCUUCAAUAUUCAAAUAAACACGCGUCAUGGUCUCCUUCGACGAGGGAUCGUCGCGCGAAAUCGUAUAACGAAUCUUCGUUACGUCCAAUGGCAUGCUUGAAAAAAUUAUAAUGAUGAUGAUAAUAAUAACAUCCAUAACAACAACAAUCAAUAUAAUAAUAACAACCCUCUGGCCGCAAAAAUAAUAUUAUAUUGAUAAAUGAGCUUGCGGAGGGUGAGUAUCUCGUGGAACAGAGAAAUUGUCAAACCAAGGAAAAAGCUCACAUGCGAUUUUUACAAUACCUUAAUAGAUAACAUUUUCUCGAUUCUCCUACCCUUAGAGGAAAGCACACAUAUUUAGUUUUUCCAUGAAUUCACCAUAUAAUGGGGUUGUAUCCGCCCUUAUUCUCUAUGUCCCCGUAUACUACAUGGUAUGCAGUUUGUAUGAUAAAACCGUUUUAUUUAAAUAAUUAUUAUUGCAGUAUUAUUUUUCCCUUGAUUCUUGUUUUUAAUAAUAAUAAUAAUAAUAGGUAAUAAUAAUAAUAAUAAUAAUAAUAAUAGUUGUAAUAAUAUUAAUAAUAGUAGUAAUAAUAAUAACAAUUACAAUAAUAACAUUAAUGCUAAUAAUUAUAACAGUGGUAGCGUCCUCUUCAUACGUAUAACAUACAAGUCAUCUAAUAAAUAUGUAAUAAAUACAUAUGUACUAUUUUCAAAUAUAUACGUAUCCAAACGAUAAUAACGAUGCACCCCUCGAAGACAUAUUGUUAUACGUAUAAAGCUGAAUAUGAACGUGUACAUGGAUAUAGUACGUGAUAUCGUAUGGUACAAACACUGAUAGUAACAUGUGCAGCGCAGAAGAAGAAUAUGUUGGGAGACUGGAUGCCGGUAUACAUACAUCCUGCAGAUGUUUAGUUGGUCGAUGGACGCAAUGAAGUUUUUCAGGUAUAUAAAUAAAAUACAGUAAAGAUCCAGAGCCUGUGGCGAAAGAAAAGGAAGAAAAAAAAACGUAACAUAUAUUUUAGCUUGAUCUCACAAAUUGAAUUUCGAUUGUAGGCAAAUGGUAAUGAGCUCGAAUGAUGUUGGUUUUUCGUGUAGUGGUAGGUAUGGUAAAUAUAUGUAUUAGUUUGUGCGGAUAACGACGUAUAGAGUAAUUAAUAUUAUUAUUUAUAAUUAUAUAGCGAGAGAAUAAAGAUGGCGAGAGGGCAUACAAUAUAAUAUUUUUGUUGUCGUGUGUAAUUUCUUUUCUUUUUUUUAUCUUUUCAUUUUCUCA